rnacentral:sRNA from 1 species
AUGGUGCCGGAGGAGAAUGGUGUUUUCUUGACAUGGGAGGAUUUGUGGGUGACGGUUACAAAUGGAAAGGAAGGUAGCAAAUCAAUACUUGAGGGUGUGACUGGUUAUGCACAACCAGGCGAGCUCUUAGCCAUAAUGGGCCCUUCAGGUUGUGGCAAGUCUACCCUCCUUGAUGCAUUAGCAGGUAUAUAUGUCAUAUUUUUCACUUUACUAUAAAAUUAUUUACACCUUCAGACUGUAUUCACGUCAUAUCUAGUAAUAAGGCAGACAAGAUGUUAGUCAAAAAUAAAAGGUGUAGAGAGGGAUGAAGAACUGGAAACAGUCAUAUAUAUAUAUGUGUGUGUGUGUCCAAAACUCUUCGAACCUCUCUGGUAUGUAUUAUCUUAUUAUGUUAAAUUUAUUUCAUUUACAAUUUCAUCAAAAUUCAUUAUGUUGACAUCAUAUUACAGACAAAGGGUUGCAUCACUGCUCUGUGUGUAUGUGUGACGAAAACACAGCUAAAGGUUUCUGCAAGUUCCUAUUACUAUCAACUGAGAUGCUUGUCACUUAUUUUUGGAAGGAAAAUAAAUAUAAUGUUCAUUGUGUAUGUGCACACGGCACACAAGAAAUGUUUUUUCUUUAAAGAAGUUACUCCAUGUGCUAUUAUUUAUAUAUAUAUAUAUAUAUAGAGAGAGAGAGAGAGAGAGAGAGAGUUUUACUUAGAGUAACUUCAAGUAAUAUUAAACUCUCUAAUAACUUUUAUUGGAUUAAUAUUUUAAAAUUUUUACUAUUGAAUUAUAUAUAUAUUUUUUAUGCUCUAGACAUAUUUGCCAAAUUUUAUGUCAAUUAGAUGUGAUAUACUAUUCAAUCUAAAUCCUUAUCCUUUAUGCAUAAUUUAAAAAUAUAAAAAUUUAGAAUUAAAUAUAUUUCUUGGUAGACAAGACAACAAGUAACACACAUUACUUCUUUGACAAGUAAUAAAAGUUUAUUCCACACCAAGAAAGCUCAAAUAAUUUGCCAAGUCAAAUGAAAAAAACAUCAAACUAUUCUUCCCAGAAGAGCUAGACUAAACACUUCCCGAGAAUAUAUUGCAUUUUAUCCUUUUUGUUUUAACUAGACUAGCUUUCCUUUGCUUGUAGGGUUUGCUACAAGCCUAGUGCCCCCUUACAAAAAGGCCCACACUCUUUAUAAAAAGGCCUCACCCCAAAUAUAAAAAAGGACUAAAUUUUUAUGAUAAUAAUUGGUUAAGAAAAUGUUAUGCAUUUUUUUUUUACCUCCAAUAGUGCCUAUAAAAUAUUAAACUAAUAGAAUCCCAAUUCAACAAAAAAAUUUAAAUUAUUUAACAAAAAAAAAGUUAUAAAUAUAUCAAACCAUCUAAUUUCCCUUAAUAAAUUAAGGUUUUAAAUUUUGCAAAAUAAUAUUUUACACGGUAAAUUGUCAACAUUAGCCAUUAAGUCAUUCACAUGGCCAUAUGUCAAACAAUUUCUCUCUCUCUCUCUCUCUCAACACCAAAAUCAAAAUUGAAAAUUAGAUUACAAAUUUAUUUAUCCAUGCAUUGUUUUAUUCAAGAUAAACUAAACCUCAUUCUUCUAAAUAAUAAUAAAUUUUCAUUUUUUUUGCUAAAUUUUAUACUGGAGUUUUGUGAUUAAUUUUUAAUCAAAAAUAUUUAUGCUUGAACCAAAUACAAAUUUUUCUUAUGAAUUUAAACUUGUUUUGUAUUAAUUAACCAAGUUAUGUCUUUAAUUCAUCAUAUUAAUCAUGCUUUUGUUAAUAUCAAAUAAAUUUACUUAAUUCAUAUUUAAAUAUAAAAAACCUCAUUAUAAUUUAUCACUGGAUGCUUCAAACUAUAUCAGCUCAACCUUGACUACUUGCAUAAGGAUAUAACAAUUGCUCUCUACUAAAAGCAUUUUUUUUAUAGUUAAGAUAUAUUUAAGGGCUAAAAUCCUCAAAUCUAAUUAAUAAUUCUGUUAGGGUUUUAGACCCUAAUUGUCUCAAAUUUUAUCAAAUUUAGCCAAAAUAUAAUUUAAAAAUUACUUAUAUAUUAGAUUUGAAUUAAUUAAACAUCACACAUAUAUUGAUUACAUAAGACAUAGAAUUAUGACCCACACAAAAUCCAAUAAAAUUGUUGUUUCACAGUAAAAAAAAACAUGGGGAUGAUUCAAACUAAACAAUCCUUAAGGCAGAAUAUCCAUUAAUAGAAUUAAAGUUUGUACAAUAAACUUAAUCAUAAUUAAAUCUACUACUACCUCAUGUAGUAUUUACUAGCGUGACUCCACGUAGCUCUAAAUUUACGAACUCUCCUGUUUGUGACCCAAGAUUUCCGCUCAAAGAUGUUGAUCAACAACUAUGGUUAAUUGAAUGCAGCAACUUUGCUAAAUAAUUAGAUCUGUUGUUUGCACAUAGUCUCCAGUUGUAGCUUCAAAAGGGUUUGGAAAAUCUCCAAAUCUGUGUACAGAACAUUACACUCUUGUGUCUUCAAAAAUGUGCUAGUUAAAUGUACUUAAAAUCCAUAAAACCUUAGAUCAAAUGGCUGAGAAAAGAAGCUGAAAUUCCAAUUUACUGCAUGAAUCUCGAUUGUUCGACCAGUCAAGAUAAGUGACUUACGACUUGUCAAGAUACAAUUGAAAUGCAGUCUAUUUUUUGCAUUAUUGAGACUUUACCUGCUUUAAACUUGAUUUGUCUUGAUCCCAGUAUUAAUUCAACACUAAUCAACUAGACAACCUAAGUUCUAAAACAUUAGAUAUGUUGGCCAACCUAACAUUAUGGACUCUACAAAUUCAAACAAGAUGCUAGUCAAAAAGAAAAGUGGAGAGACAGAUCAUGAAGAGAGGAAGAAGUGACAAAGCGAAAUUAUGAAAAUAAAACAUGUUUAUGUUAUCUUCUGAUAAACUUAUGUAAUUGACAAUUUCAUUAGAAUUCAUUAUAUCGCAAGGAUAGUAUGAUAAUGUUGUAUAUUUUGAUAAAUACAUAUAAAUUGUAAUAUUAGAAAUUGGAAGUGAGUAAGAAUUUCAUUGUGAAAGUGAGGGCAAUCGAGUUCUACAUAUCUUGCACAACCAAGAAUUGUACUUGGUUGAGCGAGAUGGUCGUUCAACCAAAAGUCAAUCAAGAAUUAGGUAAAAAUUUUCUGUCUGAAGUUUUUAUUCAAUAAUAGUUCUUGCUAAAUCGAAAGUGCACUUGGUUGAGCGAAUUCUUGGUGAGCGUGAAAUGUUUUGUUCUUCAUCAGAAUUUAUUGGGUUUUCUUGACCUAUUUGACAUGGUGUCAUGUGCCCAAUAGUCAAUGGUAUUUCCAACUGUUUUUUGAGAGGGUAUAUAUAACGCCUAACUAGCAUCCUUUCAUGAUGCAUAUUUAUUUGAACCUCACAAUAUCUAUAAUUAGAUGACAAGUUCAGUCAUUUCCUGCAUCUUUAAUAAUUUUUCUGCAUAACACUAUUAUAAGAAGUUCUUGAGUGUUUUUAGAAUGGCUAUUUGUGGAUAUUCAGACUUUGUUGUAUCAUAUAGUUGAAAACUGUUGCAAGUUCCUCCUUCUAGCAACAGAGAUUCUUGUCACUUAUUUUUUCAUGGAAAAUAAAUUAUAAUGUCCAUUAUGCAUGCCCACACAAGAGUAAAGCAGUUAUAUCACAAGUACAUUAUAUAUUUUAUAGAGACUUUCACUCCAUUAGGCAUAUGAGAACCAAUAAGGAGUCUUUUAUGGCAGGGAGAUCAGGUUCAAACACAAGGCAAUCAGGGGAAAUUCUUAUCAAUGGCCUUAAACAGAAACUGGGUUUUGGAACAUCGGUAAGAGACAAAUUAAAAGAUAAACAUAUAAUUCUUUUUUUCCUUUUCCAAUCAAAGAGAAUUUAUAUCAGUUUAAUUUUUACAUAUAUUUAGGCAUAUGUAACACAAGAUGAUACUUUGAUGACAACUUUAACUGUAAGAGAAGCCAUGUAUUAUUCGGCUCAGCUCCAAUUGCCAGACUCCAUGUCAAAGUCAGAGAAGAAGGAGAUUGCAGAUAUAACAAUAAAAGAAAUGGGCUUAGAAGAUGCCAUGGACACAAGAAUUGGUGGGUCGGGAGCCAAAGGCAUUAGUAGUGGGCAAAAGAGAAGAGUAAGCAUUUGCAUAGAGAUCCUGACGCGCCCCAAGCUUCUUUUCCUUGACGAACCAACAAGUAGACUUGAUAGUGCGGCAUCAUAUUAUGUCAUGAGCAGAAUUGCUAGCCUGCAUAAAAGUGAUGGAAUUACAAGGACUAUAAUCGCAUCCAUCCAUCAGCCCAGCAAUGAGGUCUUCCAAAUCUUUCACAAUCUUUGCCUUUUGUCAUCUGGGAGAACAGUUUACUUUGGUCCUUCUUCCACAGCAACUGAGGUAUGUUCUCUAAUGUUUCUAAUGUCUAUGAAGAAUAAAAUGAUAUUAGAGACACAAUGUUAUUCUUUUUUAGAACUAUUGACAUGUCCUAUUAUAAUUGGAGCAACAUCAAUUUCACCCAGUCCACCUUUUUUAUUAUGCACCAAUCAUAAAGGUUAUGUUAAUAGUCAGGGGCGUAGCUACGUGUUAGGGUGGGGGGCCAUGGCCCCCCAAAAUUUUGAAAUUUUUUUAAAUAUAUAUAUAUAUAUAUAUAUAUAUAUAAUUAUUUUAAUUUUUUCAAAAUUUAGUCUACAAAAAUAAGAGUUGCCCCCCAAAUAUUUGAUUUAGUCCAAUGAUGCUCUUAAAAAAAAAUUGGUUUAAUAAUUAUAGAGACAUAACAUUAUUUUUCACAAUUCUAUUUUUUUAUUGUAAAAUAUGCUCUUAUAUCUGUUAAAUAUUUGAUAAAGUUUGGCACUAAACAUAUUUGAAUCUAUAUCUUUUUCAACCAAUUAUAUGGCAAUUAACAAGUUAUUGACUCAUUAAAAAAAUAAUGUCACCAAAAUUAUACAUGAAAUGUCUUUUUAGUUUCUACAUAAUAGGUUAAAGCAAGAUAGCAUCAAAUAUGUUUGAAACUUAACUUAUUCUUCCAAGUUUUGGAUCAUUUAUGUUUUUAAAAAUUUCAUUAGUUCAAUUGAAAGAUUUUUUACUUUAGUAUAAAAUUUGAUAAUUUGUAUCGAAAAUGAAAUUUUUUAAGAAUUUCACUAUAUAAAAAUAGUAAAAAUGAAUUUUAUUUUAUGAAAGAUCGCCACCAAACAUAAUUUUGAUUAAAAUUACUAAGCUCUUUUUGUUUUUGUUUGGUGUGUGUAUAUAUAACUUAUCAAAUAAAAAAGUGUGUUUAUAUAAUAAAAAAGCGUGUGUAUAAGUGUAUGUGGGGGUUGUCUUAAUAAAUAUAUUAGAGUUGCAACUUGGCCCCCCCAAACGAAAAUUCCUGGCUCCGCCCCUGUCAAUAGUUGAAAAAAAUAUUGUCUCUAACCUUAUUCAUGAAGAAUGUUAACUUGGUAUUUGGAAUGUGUAACUAAACAUACCUAGUUUCAAUUCAUUGCAGUUUUUCGUUACAAAUGGUUUUCCCUGCCCGACUCUUCAAAAUCCAUCUGAUCGCUUCCUUAAAACUAUAAACAAAGAUUUUGGAAAGGUAAGAGAAUAUAGGAUUUUUCUAUUGGAGAAUAUGUUUCUUGGUUCUUAUUUAAUAUUUUGUAAAUUUAAAUCUAAAUAUGUAUUAGGUAGCAUGUCCUUUAAAUUUUAAAAUUUUGUAUCACUCCAUACAUUGUUAGACGUACAUCUCCAUUAUUAUCAUAGGCUUAAAAUACUUUUUUCAACUCAGCCUUAUGCAAUUACUUACCCAAAUCUUAAAAACAAACUCCUUAUAAAUCUAGCACUUUUUUUGUUUUCAAAAAAAUGUAGGAUCUUGAGCAAGGUUUAGAUGGAGGGAUUCCAACAGAGGAAGCAAUUAACUCUCUUACAAGGUCAUAUAAAUCUUCUGAAAUUUACCAACAAGUUCAAAGACAAGUAUCAGAAAUAUGCAAACGGGUAAUGAAAUUCAAGCAAUUAGUCUUAUAAUUUAAUUUACAUAAAUCUUUCCAAAAUUAAUGACAGAAACUUACAUUGAUUUCAGGACUAUGGAGUAUUAGAGAAGAAGAGAAACCAUGCUGGGUUUGUUAUUCAAUGUCUUGUUCUUACAAGAAGGUCUUUUGUGAAUAUGUACCGUGAUAUAGGCUAUUACUGGUUACGCCUAGCUAUUUAUGUUGCAUUAGCUAUAGGCCUAGCCACAGUCUUUUAUGAUGUUGGCUCUAGUUAUGGAUCAAUCCAGGUAUAAGAGAGAAAGAGAGAGAUUGAAUAUUCCUUAUACUUAUUCUAAAAAGCUAGAAAGUAAGAAGCAAUACUAAUCAUUGUAUUGUUUUUUUUCUUUCUCCUUUUUCCAGGUGAAAGGUUCACUGAUCAUGUUUAUAACUUCAUUCUUAACUUUCAUGACCAUUGGUGGAUUACCUUCUUUCCUGGAAGACAUGAAGGUUUGUUUUGCUUGUCAUUUAAGUAUUGCUUUUCUUUUUCUUUUUUUGGGAAGCAAGUAUUAAUCUAUUUUUAUGCACAUAGAGUAUACUUACCUCUUUUAACAUGCAUUUGGACUAGUCUCUUUUUUUUAUGUCUAAAAUUAAUUCAAUCCUCUAACUUUUAACUUUAUUGAAUUCAGUCAUUUCAUUGGUGUGCAUUAGGUGAUAUUUUUAUUUAUUGAUAGGGUGAUAUGCCAUUAAGUAUCUCAAAUGAUGUAGUUUUUUUAAUAUAUAUAUAUAUAUAAUUUCUUACAUUAAAAAAUAGAAAAUUUUCCUUUCUUUUCAAAUUGAGGCAAGAAGAAAAAACACACAAAAAAAAAAAAAUAUUUAGUCCAAAAUAAAAGGACCAAUGUGAAACGGACUAAGAAGUUGAGGAUUUUUAAAAUAAAAAAGCANAAAAAAAAAUUAAAAAAAAAAAAAAGCAAAAAAAAAAAAAAAACCCUUUUUUUUUUUCAAAUCUAGAGGUGCUAGUUGAAAUAUAUGGUUAAGAUUAGAAAUUAAAAUUCACUUUUAAUCUUAGUCCUUGGAUUAAAAAUAAAAAUUAACCUUUUUCAGCUUUUUAUUUUUUCGUUUUUUCUUUUUAUAACUUUUACAUCGCACAUCAACGUGGUUAUUGCACAGUGCAAUUAUUACACCAAAUUCAAAUCCCUUCCCAUCUAUGCACCAAUCUUUCACCAACAUAUCACCCAUUUGUAAUUGGGGACCAACUCAUUCACCAAGUUCUUCACUAUUUUCUCAUUACAACUCGCACACUCAUUUUUGUAAAUUUUCUCCAAAACAAAUUCCAGUGAUCUACUUUAUGUUUUACAUUAAAUAGUAUAAAUCUAAGCAUGUAUCAAAUAUUACAACAUUUUAAAUUUUUAAAGGACAUGACACUUGAUAUAAUGUCUGAUCUAGAAAAUAGAAUCUUAUCUGUAAAAUGAACUCUCUCCAUUUUAUGCAAAUAGAAAAUGUUUGAUUUUAUAGUUUAGGAGGACAUUAGAACUAAUUCCGUACUUUUUGGGGGGAGGGAAAGUGCAAUUAGCUCAAUUUUAUGGUGAUCACUCAUCUGGUAUCGCUACAGAUUCCCUUCUAACUACUUGAUUUUAACCAAAAUUGACAAUUUAUUUAUGCCAUACUCAAAUAUAUUCCAUCUUUUUUUUUCUCUCCCAUUUAUCCAGGUAUUUGAUCGAGAAAGAUUAAAUGGACAUUAUGGCACUAGUGCAUUCAUCAUAAGCAACUCAUUUUCUGCUGUUCCAUACCUGUUAUUGAUUUCACUGAUUCCCGGGGCAAUAGCUUAUUACCCUACCGGACUUCAAAAAGGAGCUGAACACUAUCUAUUCUUUGCUUCCGUAUUAUUUGCUUGCAUGAUGUUAGUUGAGAGCCUAAUGAUGAUUGUUGCAAGCAUAGUACCUAAUCUUUUAAUGGGUAUAAUAACUGGUGCUGGAAUUCAAGGACUCAUGAUGUUACGUGGUGGAAUCUUUCGAUACCCAAAUGAUCUUCUCAAACCAUUUUGGAGAUUCCCAAUAUACUACAUAGGUUUCCACAAGUAUGCAUACCAAGGAUUGUUCAAGAACGAGUUUGAAAAGCUAACAUUUCCUGUAGAUGAAGCUGCAGGACCAACCAACAUUAGUGGUAAAGAAAUUUUGAUAUAUAAAUUGCAAAUGGAAAUGGGUUACUCUAAGUGGGUUGAUCUUGCCAUAUUGCUAGGAAUGGUUGUUUUGUAUAGACUUUUGUUCUUGGGUUUCAUCAAGACUAUGGAAAAGAUAAAGCCUAUUGUUACAACUUUCAUGUCAGCUCCUCCUAAACAAACAACACAAGUCAUGGUGAUUCCCUCUUCUACACCUUUACAUGGAGAGACUCUGUAGCAGAACAUUGAUGUUAUUGGUUAUAUUUUAGAAAAUAGUGAUGGGUAAAGGACGAGUAAAUUUUACUAUGUUUAUUAAUUAAAGGAAGGGAACUACGGUUUUUUUUUUUUUUUUUCAAUUUCUUUGCAAUUGAAGUAUUUGAAAUGAAUCAUGGAAGUGAAAGUCUGUUGAUAUGUUGGUAUGUGAUUACAGUGCGUAUUGAUAUUUGAUUGUUAGAAAUUCAAUAAGCUCAAUGACUUGUAAGAUGUGCUUAAUUUUUGUUGAACAUCCUCCAUACAUACCGUGUAUAAAAUGUGAACACUAAAUAUCCACAUUUUUCAAGAAUAUUCAUAUUUUAGACAUUUAUAUAGAGUGUGGAAGUUUAUAACAUAAAACAAUCAUGAUACUAGGUAAAGUUGCUACGAGUUAAAAUAACAAGUCACUACUAAACCAUGAGACUUUUAUUUUUCAAUAAGAAUUAAAACCUCUUGUUCAAAAAAUUAAAAAAAAAUAAUAAUAAAAAGAGCUUGUAAUGGCCUUAUGAUGUUUAUUAAAUUUUCAAUUUUGCCUAAUAAGUUGUAGCCUACAUGUGCCAUGCAGGGAUGUCAAAAAAUAAUAAACAAUGGAAAACAAUCCUUUUUAUAUUAAAUAUAUCUAUUUUAUGGUUUAGAUUAAAUAUUAUAAAUUUAAAAAUACAUCCAAUAUUUCAUUAUUUUAAAUUUUAAAUAUCAUGACAAUCUGACACAAAUUUACAAUGAAAAGGAAGUUCGAAAUAGCUUUAUUAUGAACUUUUCAAAUCGAUAACAUUGGAGGCUACAGCUCCAUGAAUGAAAUGGGAUACUUCCUCCAACGAAACAUUUCAAACAUCAAAACUACAUGCCAUUGAUAGAUCCAUUAUCAGACCUAGAAACUAAAGUAAAACAGUAACUAUGACUUCGUGAAAGCAACAAAUGAACCUCCCCACUACAUGCCAUUGAUAGAUCUAUUUCGAACACAUGGCAUACUCCAAAAAUGGAUGGGAAAAGUGGUUCAUUUAAGUCGAAACAAUUUUUUGGAGCAAAGUGCUUCAGACUCACUUGCAACUACAUCCUCAUCCAUUAGUGCUACAAUAUACAUGUAUCAAAAAUAAAAUUAACACCAUAUUAAUUAUAACAUGUUUUUAAAAAAUAACUAUGAAUCAAAUAAAAUACAAUAAAUACUUCCUCCAACGAAACAUUUCAAACAUCAAAACUACAUGCCAUUGAUAGAUCCAUUAUCAGACCUAGAAACUAAAGUAAAACAGUAACUAUGACUUCGUGAAAGCAACAAAUGAACCUCCCCACUACAUGCCAUUGAUAGAUCUAUUUCGAACACAUGGCAUACUCCAAAAAUAGAUGGGAAAAGUGGUUCAUUUAAGUUGAAACUAUUUUUUGGAGCAAAGUGCUUGAGACUCACUUGCAACUACAUCCUCAUCCAUUAGUGCUACAAUAUACAUGUAUCAAAAAUAAAAUUAACACCAUAUUAAUUAUAACAUGUUUUUAAAAAAUAACUAUGAAUCAAAUAAAAUACAAUAAUAGUACCUUGUUUAAUUAUUACUCAAUCCUUCAUUGACAUUUCUUCAUCCCUUCUUCUCUUUGAUAUUGGGAAAGGAAAAGAAAUUAAGUUUGAUAUUGGUAAAGUGAAAGAAAAUUGAUAGUAAAAUAUUAGUAAAAUAAGAUUUGGUGGAAAAUAAAAAGUGAAAGAGGGGAAAUGUGUCAAGAGGGCAAUUUUGUCCAAAAUAUGAUUGUCAUUUGCGUGCUGCUUUUUCUCAUAUUUACUAAUUUUUUUUAUUAAUGUGGGACCCAUGUUAACAUUUGCCUAAACUAUAAAGUAGCUAGAACACUAAAAGUUAGACAAAAUAUUUUUGGCAAAAAUAUCAUUUUAGUCUUUACAUUUUUGGGCUAUAUUCAAUUCCAUCCAUAUAUUUUGAUAACAAUCAAUUUGAUUCAUGUUAUUUUCAACUUGAUGCCAAUUUGGCUCUUACUACCUACCGUUAGCUCACUAACAGAAAAAUGUCUUUGUGGCAAACAGUGUACACAAUUGGCACACUUAAUGUUGACAUGAAUAAUAAAAUAAUAUUAAUAAUUAUUUAAUUUGCAUUUGAGAAAACCAUGUUAGCAAUUUUAAAAUUUUAAAAAGUACAUUAGAAAAAUAAAACAAAAAUUUGAAUGAUGAGUAGCUUUCUUGCAUUUUCUUGUCGGCCAAACACAACAAACUCAGCAACACAAACUUAAAUGCAACCCAAAAAAUUCACCAUAACCAAAUUCUAUUUCAACUUUCAAGUAGUGGAUACCUCAGACCUAGGGGUAGCAAAGUAAGCCUAAACCCAUUCGUCCACUCAUAUCCACCCACCCUAAUUGAUCCCAAACUCAUCCAAUGAUUAGUUGGGUUAAAUGAGUAUCAACCCAAUUAGACCUAAUAAUUAUUGAGUUUUAACUAAAAACUCAUUGAACCUCAUUUAACCCAAAAACAAUAUUCCCAAACUCAACCCACCCCUUCCCAUUAAAAUAAAAAAUAAAAUAAAAUAAAAAAAUAAAAAAAGCCCUCUAACGUUUCACUGUUUCAAGGUUUUCAUGUUUCUUUUAAGCCUCCAAACACUUUUCUCUCUCUCUCUCUCUCUCGAUCGAAACAAAUAAAAAAUUAGAACCAAGCAAUCGAAAAUUUCAUAUAAAUUUCAACGACCCUGAUCUGUCCAACGCAACUCCUCGAAGAUAACGAUGACUACGAGAUUAUUGAUGGUGGCAGUCCUAACUAUAUCUCUGAGCUGCCUGAUAAGUGCCUGGCUUGUAUAUUUCAAUCUCUAAGCUCCGGUGACCGGAAACGCUACUCUCUAGUUUGUCACCGAUGGUUUUGGAUCGAAGGUCAAAGUCGCCACCAACUUUCUCUCAACGCACAGUUGGAUCUCUACCUACUGAUAGAUUCUCUGUUUUGAAAUGCGAUCGUAGAUCCGCGAGUAUCUGCGACGAGGCGCUUGUGUUGAUCUCGUUCAAGUGCCGGAACCUCACGCGCCUCAAGCUCCGCGCGUAUCGUGAAUUGACCAACGCGGUGAUGGAAGCCUUUGCGAAGAACUGCAAGGGCUUGAAGAAGCUCUCGUGUGAUCGGGGAUCUUUUCAACGAUCUUGUCCAUCAGCGACUUCGGCUGGCACGCAUGGUCCGCCAUGGAUCUCCACCACACCAGAGAGAUAGCUCUCUCUCUCUCUCUCUCGCUUCCUCUCUCUCUUUUCAUUUUCCUUCCUUGGCCUUGAAAGAAUUUCUAUUUGUUUCAAGUACAGUUGCUUUCAAAAUUUCAAGAAAGUUUUGAGCUUCAAAUGACAUUUCUUUGUAUUUGUUGCACUGUUUGGUUGCUAAGGAAGUGAGGAAAAAUAAAAAUAAAAUAAAAUAUUUUUUUUAUUUAGAUUUUUAAUAUAAUUGUUAAUAUGGAUGUGCUUAUGUGAAAUUUUUUAAUCCUUAGAGUAGAGACCAAAGAGAUUGAAAAAGGAAAUCCAAGAAAGUGUUGGGGUUUAAACAGGUAAAUGGUAAUUUUGAUAAUUGGGUAAUUGGAUGAAUUGAGAUUUAUCCAUAAUAAUUGAGUUUGGUUAAAUUUGAGUUAGAAACAAUUAGUUAAAUGAGUUUUAAUGAGUAAAUAAGUUUUAUAUACCCAACUUAAUUAUGUUUACUCAAAACUCACUCAUUUGACACCCUUGCAGUCAGACCCAACACCAAUCUUUGAUCUUCUUAGACCAACCAAAUAUAAAAGCAAAAUUGAAUGGUCAUAAAACCACAAAGAUUUUCUACACAAUGACGUAUUUGCAAAUUCAAUCUUUCUUCUAAAGGUUCUAUCACUCUCUUUCCCGCAGUCUCACUAUCUCAUCGCAAGGAAGCCACUAUCAUCAUUCAAAUUUUUUGUUUAUGACUAAAAGCAACAACAACAGCCAAAAAAAAAAAAUGAGAGAGAGACCCCUUCACAACAACCAGUAGUCUUCUCCUCCACCAAAGACGUGGUCCACAUCCACCAUGUCACUGUCACGAAACCUUGUGGCUUGGGAUAGAGCCGCCAGGCUCUACUUCUAUGACUAUAACAAACACUACCUCCAUCAAUCUCUUCAGAUCUACUAUAGAUGGGUUGGAUUUACUGUCUGAAAUUUUCUUUCCCUCAUUUUCUUGAAUUAGAAUUUGGUUACGGUGAAUUUUUUGGGUUUAGUUUAAGUUUAUGUCUGUGGAUUUGUUGUUUUUGUUUGACAAUUAAAUAAUAUUUAUUAUUAUUUUAUUAUCCAUGUCAGCAUCAAUUAUCUAUCUUAUACCUUUGUAAAGCAAUUGUACUCUCAAAGUAAUCCUUAGAUAUCCUCAAAAUACAGUAAAUGGUAUUCCUUUCUUUCUCAUUAUGGUAGAGUCUACUAUAAAUGUGAGAGAAAAAAAUUAUUUCAUUAUACUGCAAUCUGCAAAAGUGCCUAAUUAUUUUCCCAAAUGCAAAACUUUCCAAAUAUGAGAUGCUUUGAAAUUCCCUACGCUAUCAAAAAUGUAGGCAUGCGGAAAAACUAGCCUUUUCCCAAUUGAUUGUUUUAACACUUAAGCUCAUAAAGUUGUUGGGUUAUUCCUAAGCCUCCAAGCUUGGUUCAUGCUCAUAGCCAAAUUAGUAUGUCUGGUUGAUUUAAUGCCUAAACCCCCAGCCUCUUUUUUAUUUUUUUGAUGAGAAACCCCCAGCCUCUUUGGGAGUAGCUAUUAGCUCCAACUAAUAGUAUGACAAUGAUUGUGCCGACUAACUUUUUUGAAGGAAAAGACUUGUUUUCAUAACAUACACCGGAACAAGUUGAUUUAAUUAAAGUGACACUGCCAGAAAUUAAAAGUUAUUUGACUUGACAACCCUCAAUUUUCUUUCAAAUCUUAUCAACUAAAAAUUGACAGGCAUGGGCAGUUCUGCAAGUGGUUUUGCAUUUGUUUUUAUGCGUCAAAUAUGGUUGGAUUUUGGAUUUUUGGUUUAAUGAAAAUUUGAAAGUGAGGUCGGUAGCUGCCAACUACAUAAGUAAUAAGGUUUUUUGGCAAAUAUUAAAUUUUAUUGCUAUUUUUCAUUAGAAAAUAUAUUAAAGUUAUUAUGCAUAAAACUUACAUUAUCAUGUGACAAUGAAUGUAAUUAGCAAAGUUUAAUCAUUUAAUAAAUAAAUAUUUUAAUUAUUUUUUUAUAAAUAAUGACACAAUAUUUUGUAAAUUCUAUAUCAUAAAAAUUUGUAAUAUCCAAACAACUUUUUUUUUUAUUGGAACCUUUAAAGUUUGAAGCACAUGCUUAUAUAAAUAGGACUUAACACUCAUCAUUGUUAUACUAACUACUAAGCUCUAUUAGCAGUCCUUCCAGUUCCAAAUCAUCCUCUCAUGCUAUCUGUCACUAAGCACAUACUCAUAAAUACUGAGCUUAUUGUCUAGAAAUUACACAGGCACAAACUAGCAGAAUGUUAUAUUCAUAACAUUUUUACAUCUUUUAAGUGACAUAUUAUUAUUAGCUAUUACAGGUGAGCCAAAAAGUAAUAUAAGUUGUGGAUUAAAAUUAUAUCCAAUAACAACUCAUAAUUUAAAAUUUAUUUUAAAAAUAUUAUAAAAAAAUAUUGUAAACAUAAUGUGAAUUAUCCCAACAAAUAAAAGGUUAAAAACACUAUAGCUAACUUGUGUCAUAGCAUCAGAAAGAUUGAAGGAGCAAAGCUGCAAGGAGGCUUUGAUUCGCCACACACCGCAGGUGAAUCUCUCUCUCUCUCUCUCUCUCAGGCAUCUUAACUCUCAUUCAGUCAUUCUCUCACUGCUCCGUCAGUCUCUACUUUUUCUUUCCUCUACUUUUUCGUCAUUUUACAAUGAAAUAAAGCAUGUUUGCACGUGAAUAAUAAUUGUAAGUAGACACAAAUUGCAUCUACAAUAUUUUCAAAAUAAAUUUUAAUUAAUAAAUUAUUGUUAACUAUUACGGAUAAGAAAAAAAAUAAUAUAAGUUGUGAAUUAAAAUUGAAUACAGUAUAACUCACCACUUAAAAUUAAGGAUAAAAAUAUUAUAAGAAUAUUGUGAUCGAUAGCAUUUCCCAGUCAAUUAUCUCAACGAAUAAAAGGUGAAAAAACAUUCUCAAGAAGUAACUUGUGUCACAGCAGCAGAAAGAUUGAAGGAGCAAAACAGCAAGGUGGCUUUGAUUCGCCACACACCACGGGUGAAUCUCUCUCUCUCUCUCUGUCUUUCUCUCUCGCUCUCUCUGUCUCCCUCAGCCUCAGGCAUCUUAACUCUCAUUCUCUUACUGCUCCGCCUGUCUCUCUUUUUUCUUUCCUCUAGUUUUUCGUCAUUUUACAAUGUAAUGAAGCAUGUUUGCAUGUGAAUAAUAAUUGAAGACCCUCAAUCCUUAUCCUCCUCCGCUGGACAAAGACGUGUGUGGUCAAAAUCAUUUCUACGAAAGCGAGUACUGGGUAGCCGUACGUGUAGACUACUCCCACUUUCCAUUUUUGUAGCAAGUGUGUGUUACUUUAAUUUUAUUUUCAUUUUGUUUCAUUUGACUUUUCUCAUCUCUUAUCAUCUGUUUUUUUUUUUUUUUUUUUUUUAAUCCUCUUAUAAAAAAAAAAAAAAAAAAAAAAAAAAAAAAAGCCCUCUAACGUUUCACUGUUUCAAGAUUUUCAUUUUUCUUCAUUUUUUAAGCCUCCAAACACUUUUCUCUCUCUCUCUCUCUCUCGAAACAAAUAAAAAAUUAGAACCAAGCAAUCGAAAAUUUCAUAUAAAUUUCAACGACCCUGAUCUGUCCAACGCAACUCCUCGAAGAUAACGAUGACUACGAGAUUAUUGAUGGUGGCAGUCCUAACUAUAUCUCUGAGCUGCCUGAUAAGUGCUUGGCUUGUAUAUUUCAAUCUCUAAGCUCCGGUGACCGGAAACGCUACUCUCUAGUUUGUCACCGAUGGUUUUGGAUCGAAGGUCAAAGUCGCCACCAACUUUCUCUCAACGCACAGUUGGAUCUCUACCUAUUGAUAGAUUCUCUGUUUUGAAAUGCGAUCGUAGAUCCGCGAGUAUCUGCGACGAGGCGCUUGUGUUGAUCUCGUUCAAGUGCCGGAACCUCACGCGCCUCAAGCUCCGCUCGUAUCGUGAAUUGACCAACGCGGUGAUGGAAGCCUUUGCGAAGAACUGCAAGGGCUUGAAGAAGCUCUCGUGUGAUCGGGGAUCUUUUCAACGAUCUUGUCCAUCAGCGACUUCGGCUGGCACGCAUGGUCCGCCAUGGAUCUCCACCACACCAGAGAGAUAG